GACGGAGGGGGGAAGCGUUGUCCGGACUCACUGGGCGUAAAGCGAGCGUAGGUGGUGUGAUGCGUCGGCGCUGAUAGCGCACGGCUUAACCGGGCGACGGGCGGCGAUAGGAUCGCACUGGAGGCAGGGAGACGUUGGUGGAAUUCCGGGUGUAGUGGUGAAAUGCGUAGAGAUCCGGAGGAAUGCCGGUGGCGAAAGCGGAUAACGAGUCCUGACAUGACACUGAGGCACGAAAGCGUGGGGAGCAAACCGG
rnacentral:rRNA from 1 species